GGAAACGGGGUCUAAUACCGGAUAAUACUCUGUCCCGCAUGGGUGGGGGUUGAAAGCUCCGGCGGUGAAGGAUGAGCCCGCGGCCUAUCAGCUUGUUGGUGGGGUAAUGGCCUACCAAGGCGACGACGGGUAGCCGGCCUGAGAGGGCGACCGGCCACACUGGGACUGAGACACGGCCCAGACUCCUACGGGAGGCAGCAGUGGGGAAUAUUGCACAAUGGGCGAAAGCCUGAUGCAGCGACGCCGCGUGAGGGAUGACGGCCUUCGGGUUGUAAACCUCUUUCAGCAGGGAAGAAGCGCAAGUGACGGUACCUGCAGAAGAAGCGCCGGCUAACUACGUGCCAGCAGCCGCGGUAAUACGUAGGGCGCAAGCGUUGUCCGGAAUUAUUGGGCGUAAAGAGCUCGUAGGCGGCUUGUCACGUCGGAUGUGAAAGCCCGGGGCUUAACCCCGGGUCUGCAUUCGAUACGGGCUAGCUAGAGUGUGGUAGGGGAGAUCGGAAUUCCUGGUGUAGCGGUGAAAUGCGCAGAUAUCAGGAGGAACACCGGUGGCGAAGGCGGAUCUCUGGGCCAUUACUGACGCUGAGGAGCGAAAGCGUGGGGAGCGAACAGGAUUAGAUACCCUGGUAGUCCACGCCGUAAACGUUGGGAACUAGGUGUUGGCGACAUUCCACGUCGUCGGUGCCGCAGCUAACGCAUUAAG
rnacentral:rRNA from 1 species